rnacentral:tRNA from 1 species
GGGGAAAUUUCUGAUCGGUCAGUAAGCGAGCUGUAAACUCGUGAGCCUAAGUGCUCCUUGGGGGUUCGAAUCCCUCUUUCCUCA